AUCUCCCUCCAGAACAUCUCCCAGCUGGCCCAAAGGACCACCUCCCCAGGAGUGGCACCACCCACAGUGAGUUGGACACCCCCCCACACACACACACACAAUAUCAAUCAUCAAUCAAGAAGAUGCUGUACAGAUGUACAGAUACAUAUGCCUUCAGGACAGUCUUACGGAUACAGUUUCCUCUUCCCAGAUAUGUUUAGAUUUGUGUCAAGUUGACAAAAGCCAACCAGAGCAGUCCCUGGGAAUAUUGGGGAAGAUAGAGAAGAGAGCUUACAGCUGGGGUCUGAGAAAGCCAAACAGACCACGUGAGAGGAGAGGCGGGACUCUAGGAAAACCAACCAAGCCAGUCUUGGCCAGAUCCCAUGAUCCCACAGAUUCCUCUUUGGGGAAUGUACUGGCCGGUUUUAUGUCAACUUGACACAAGCUAGAGCCACCAGAGAGGAGGGAGCCUCGGUUAAGAAAAUGCCUCUAAAGAUCAUGCUGUGAGCAAGACUGUCAGGUAUUUUCUUAAUUAAUGAUUGGGGAGGGAGGGCUGGGCUCAGCCCAUUGCGGGUGAUGCUAUCUCUGGACUGGUGGCCCUGGGUUCUAUAAGAAGCAGCACCCUCCAUGGUCUUCUGCAUCAGCUCCCAUCCCCAGGUUCCUGCCUGGCUUGAGUUACUCUCUUGACUCCCUUUGAUGAUAAACCGUGAUGCU
rnacentral:lncRNA from 1 species